UAGAGUUUGAUCAUGGCUCAGGACGAACGCUGGCGGCGCGCCUAACACAUGCAAGUCGAACGGAAUCUAAUUGGAGCUUGCUCCGGGUAGAUUUAGUGGCGGACGGGUGAGUAACACGUGAGCAACCUGCCUUUCAGAGGGGGAUAACGUUUGGAAACGAACGCUAAUACCGCAUAACAUCUACUGGUGGCAUCACCGGGAGAUCAAAGGAGCAAUUCGCUGAAAGAUGGGCUCGCGCCCGAUUAGAUAGUUGGUGGGGUAAUGGCCCACCAAGUCUGCGAUCGGUAGCCGGACUGAGAGGUUGAUCGGCCACAUUGGGACUGAGACACGGCCCAGACUCCUACGGGAGGCAGCAGUGGGGAAUAUUGCACAAUGGGGGAAACCCUGAUGCAGCGACGCCGCGUGAGUGAAGACGGUCUUCGGAUUGUAAAGCUCUGUCUUCGGGGACGAUAAUGACGGUACCCGAGGAGGAAGCCACGGCUAACUACGUGCCAGCAGCCGCGGUAAUACGUAGGUGGCGAGCGUUGUCCGGAAUUACUGGGUGUAAAGGGAGCGCAGGCGGGGAGCCAAGUUGGAUGUGAAAUACCGCAGCUCAA
rnacentral:rRNA from 1 species